AUUGAACGCUGGCGGCAGGCCUAAUACAUGCAAGUCGAACGAGUGGCGGACGGGUGAGUAAUGUCUUGGAAACUGCCUGAUCGAGGGAGAUAACUAGGGUAAACGUUAGCUAAUACCGCAUACCGUCAUAUGUGCCCAGAUGGGAUUAGCUUGUUGGUGGGGUAACGGCUCAUCAGGGCGACGAUUCCCAGCUGGUCUGAGAGGAUGACCAGCCACACUGGUACUGAGACACGGUCCAGACUCCUACGGGAGGCAGCAGUGGGGAAUAUUGCACAAUGGACGCAAGCCUGAUGCAGCCAUGCCGCGUGUAUGAAGAAGGCUUUCGGGUUGUAAAGUACUUUCAUCAGGGAGGCGUUACCCGCAGAAAAAGCACCGGCUAACUACGUGCCAGCCGCCGCGGUAAUAC
rnacentral:rRNA from 1 species